AGUAACUUGGGAGAAUUCCAUAAAUGGAGCCCUGCUAGAUUUUCCAACCCCCAGACCCAGAGUGAGCUCCCACGUGGAGCAGCAGAGAGAACCGCAGAGCCCAGGUCUUCAGUGCUCCAGAGGGCAGAGCGUGGGAGACUCCCCAGGGGCCGGGGGAGAGUCAAGCCUGGCCAGGUGCCUGUCUUGAGAAAAGCCAAGAGCUGGAGUGGCAGGGCCUGGAGGAUGAGAAGGUGGCAGAGGUGCACUGGGGCCAUGAGGAAAUGAAGAUUUUUCUGGACAUUCUCAGUGAGUCCUGGAUCCAUGAAAAACUCUGUACAUGCCAUCAGAACCGCCAAGUUUACCAGAUUGUGGCUGAGCGGCUGUGAGAGCGUGGCUUCCUACGGACCCUGGAGCAGUGUCACUACCGGUUCAAAAACCUCCAGACCAACUACCGCAAAUCCAGGAGCAGCCACACUCCAGGCACCUGCCCCUUCUAUGACAAGAUGGAUGCCCUGAUAUGCCCACAGGCUACCACCCCCGUUCCAGAGGUGGCAGGGAGUCUGCUUGGGCAGAGGGACCAUGACGUGGAGCUCGAAGAACCGCAGAGUGGUUGCUGGGAACAGGAGGAGGCAAUGCCGGCUGAGGCUGUGCUAGAAGGAGGGGCAGAGAGGUGGGGGCGGAACCUGGGCCGUAGGGCAGCAUCUUUAGAAGGGCAUUCAGGAGCCGUGACAGAGGAUUCUGAGGAGGAAGAACUGGGCCUUGAGGAAGUGUCUGAAAGCCUUGGUAUCCCAGCCCUGUUUCGGGAGUCCUACUGGUAAAGCCCUUGUUAUGAGCAAGAUGGGAGGGCCGUGGUUGUUAGCAGGGUUUGGAAAGAACCUCAUCGCAACCAGUUAUUUCAGAGGUGCCGUGUGGAGUUAGGGCAUAUUAUAAUAGCUCGAAAAGGGCAAGGAAAGACUUUUUAUAUACAAAUGAGAGAGCCUUUAUUCACGUAUGUAAUUGAGAAAAAGGAAGAACUAUUAUAUAAGAAUAAUGUUUAUAAGUAUAAAAAUAAAUAUGUGCUUAAUGUUGGA